GAUGAACGCUGGCGGCGUGCCUAAUACAUGCAAGUCGAGCGAACGGACGAGAAGCUUGCUUUUCUGAUGUUAGCGGCGGACGGGUGAGUAACACGUGGAUAACCUACCUAUAAGACUGGGAUAACUUCGGGAAACCGGAGCUAAUACCGGAUAAUAUUUUGAACCGCAUGGUUCAAAAGUGAAAGACGGUCUCGCUGUCACUUAUAGAUGGAUCCGCGCUGCAUUAGCUAGUUGGUAAGGUAACGGCUUACCAAGGCAACGAUGCAUAGCCGACCUGAGAGGGUGAUCGGCCACACUGGAACUGAGACACGGUCCAGACUCCUACGGGAGGCAGCAGUAGGGAAUCUUCCGCAAUGGGCGAAAGCCUGACGGAGCAACGCCGCGUGAGUGAUGAAGGUCUUCGGAUCGUAAAACUCUGUUAUUAGGGAAGAACAUAUGUGUAAGUAACUGUGCACAUCUUGACGGUACCUAAUCAGAAAGCCACGGCUAACUACGUG
rnacentral:rRNA from 1 species